GCCGGGGUCUCCUAGUCUGGUAGGGAGCAGGCCUGCUAAGUCUGUGGCCCUUGGGGCCACACGGGUUCAAAUCCCGUCCCCGGCGCCA
rnacentral:tRNA from 1 species